CUAAGGUUGUAUUGUAUUGCUAAGGUUGUAUUGUAUUGCUAAGAUUGUAUUGUAUUGCUAAGGUUGUAUUGUAUUGCUAAGGUUGUAUUGUAUUGCUAAGGUUGUAUUGUAUUGCUAAGGUUGUAUUGUAUUGCUAAGAUUGUAUUGUAUUGCUAAGGUUGUAUUGUAUUGCUAAGGUUGUAUUGUAUUGCUAAGGUUGUAUUGUAUUGCUAAGGUUGUAUUGUAUUGCUAAGAUUGUAUUGUAUUGCUAAGGUUGUAUUGUAUUGCUAAGAUUGUAUUGUAUUGCUAAGGUUGUAUUGUAUUGCUAAGGUUGUAUUGUAUUGCUAGUGUUGUAUCGUAUUGCUAGCGUUGUGUUGUAUUUCUAAGGUUGUAUUGUAUUGCUAAGGUUGUAUUGUAUUGCUAAGGUUGUAUUAUAUUGCUAAGGUUGUAUUGUAUUGCUAAUGUUGUAUUGUAUUGCUAAGGUUAUACUGUAUUGCUAAGACUGUAUUGUAUUGCUAGGGUUGUAUUGUAUUGCUAAGGUUGUA